AUUAAGAAAACAACGGGGCAAUUUUGUUUUCCUGCUGACAUUAAUGCCAGUUAAAUAAUUAAUAUUUUGAAUUCAGUCCAUCAAUCUUCAUAGGGCUUAAUCUAUCUCAUCCUGACUGUCCUUUAUUUUGUAAAUUCCUUUUAUUUUCUGCCACUGUCCCAUUUCACUUGAGUAGCUCCAUUGCUUUUCCUGGCGAUUUUCUUUUGAUGCUCCGUACCGUGCCGUCAUGCGUGCAGCUGUUGCUCUUUUAAACUUGCAGAUUAUCUGUUCUUUUAUUUUUCUCGUUCUCAUUCGGCUUCUGUAUUUUCUGUCCUCCCCCUCCUCUCCCUGCUUGUGUGAUGGUCGCUGUUGAUAACAGAGGGGCUUUUUACCCACUUGCAGAGUGGCAUCUUUUAGCAUCGCUGUAAAACCCAAUAAAGUAAGAGAGGAAUAAAUGUCAAGACACAUUUUUUUAAAAAAUCCUCAGCUGUGCUAUUUAUAUAAUUGUGUUAUAUAACAGAGAAUGUGCAUGUAUGUCAUAGUUAUACCCUGGGCAUUGCAGUAGAUGAGGCUUAUUCACACACACUCACAUACACAGACAUAUGAGGGUAUCCUCGCACGCUUGCAAUCACUUGCUCACACCCUGCUUGCAUUGCUCAGCGAUGCCAUUUCUUUGUAGUGGGGAUGCAAUCCUGGAGAGAUUAUUUUUGCAAGCCUUGUAGUGCUUCAGUCACCUCUCCUCAGGAGGACAUGGAAUACAGGAUGGGAAGCUGCAUCGGAGUCGCACGCAGCCAGGCUGCAGUACACACUGACAAGGUGAGCCUACUGAAGGAGAAGUCUGCCACUGCAGAGAACGGAUCUGUCCACACUGAUUCAGUCAAAGCAAAGCCACAGGUGACUGCUGACGAGGAAGAAAAGCCGCAAAGGCAAGAAGAGGAGGAUAAAGAGGAGCUAGAGUUUCCUCAUGAUCUGCUGGCCAGCAUAGACCUUGACCUCAGCACUGAGCUCAGUCUCACCUGGGGAAUCUCACUUGGACCAUUUGAGAUCCACAGUUUGCCUCAGGCUGAACUAGAAUUCCGAACCCCAACUGAAGAAUAUUUUCCCCCUGCACCUGAAGAGAGUUUCCCCCCUGCGCCUGAGGAGAGUUUUCGCCCUUGGCCUGUGGAGAGUUUUCCUCCUGCACCUGAGGAGAGUUUUCCUCCUGCUCCUGUGGAGAGUUUUUCUCCUGCACCUGAGGAGAGUUUUACCCCUGUUACUAAGCAGACAGAAGAACCACUAGACUGCAGGAGCUCAGACUCAGACGGAGCAUUCGAAACCCCUGAGUCCACCACCCCUGUGAAGUCUGCUUCCCCACCAGUGCCCUCAACAGAGCCCCCCUGCACCAAAUCAGAGGGAUUGUCCCCAGAACACACAGGUACGUUUAGAUCUUCAUUCCAUUGCAAUUCACACCACAGAUUGUCUUAUGUGGAG
rnacentral:lncRNA from 1 species